rnacentral:rRNA from 1 species
UCGGGAAUUUUGGGCAAUGGGCGAAAGCCUGACCCAGCAACGCCGCGUGAGGGAUGAAGUAUUUCGGUAUGUAAACCUCGAAAGAAUGGGAAGAAUAAAUGACGGUACCAUUUAUAAGCUCCGGCUAACUACGUGCCAGCAGCCGCGGUAAUACGUAGAGAGCAAGCGUUGUUCGGAUUUACUGGGCGUAAAGGGCGCGUAGGCGGCGCGGUAAGUCACUUGUGAAAUCUCUGAGCUUAACUCAGAACGGCCAAGUGAUACUGCUGUGCUAGAGUGCGGAAGAGGCAACCGGAAUUCUUGGUGUAGCGGUGAAAUGCGUAGAUAUCAAGAGGAACACCUGAGGCGAAGGCGGGUUGCUGGGCCGACACUGACGCUGAUGCGCGAAAGCCAGGGGAACAAACG